AAGUCGUAACAAGGUUUCCGUAGGUGAACCUGCGGAAGGAUCAUUAACACAUCCUUUUAUAACAAUAUCAACAAUGGCGCACCUGAGCCUAUGGGAGCGAAGUCUGGCUUGGCUAUGGUUGAUUUGCCUUUUCGAAGGCAUCUAGCUGAACAGAUAUCUGGCCACUUCUCUCGUAGAAGUGAGUUGGUACUUUGACUUUUGUAGGUAUAACAGUCUCGACCAUGGCUGGACCUUUUUUUUAAACUUGACUAACAGUACUGAUUAUUAGAUGUGGAUUCGAGCUGAUCUUCUUUUUGGAGUGAAGUUCUCUGCAUCGCUCUUUAGAUGGUGGUAUUGAAUUCAAUGCCAUUGUUUAAUUUAAACACAACUCUUAACAGCGGAUAUCUCGGUUCCC
rnacentral:misc_RNA from 1 species